GUUCACCACUUUGUGUGUCCAAGGACCACCUACUUUUUACAUGUGACAAGAACUACCCACCUCCACUCUUCAGGAUAGAACAUGCUGAAGAAAAGAGUUGCAAUGAGAAAAUAUAUGGGAACAAAAUACCUAUGCAAUGCAGAAGUCUGCAUAACUGAACCACUCAGAGGAAAAAGGUGCUCUUCCUCACUCUCUGGCUUGCUCACUUUCUGGGAAGACAUUUGUCAUACAGUGAGAUACCCUACGAAAAGUCUAAAAUUGCAAGAAGUGAGAGGCUCCAGACAAUAGCCAGAUUGCCAUUUCAGGACACCUCCUACAUCUGAGGAAAUAUGCAUUGAUCUUGCAGUACUUUUCUCCUCCAAAUAAAAGUCAGUAUGAUAACAAC
rnacentral:lncRNA from 10 species